CCCUGGCGGGCGGCGGCGCGCAGGGACCGCCCCCAGCCUGGCGCCGCCGCCGCCCGCCUCAGCCCAACAUGGCGAUGCACAACAAGGCGGCGCCGCCGCAGAUCCCGGACACCCGGCGGGAGCUGGCGGAGCUCGUGAAGCGGAAGCAGGAGCUGGCGGAAACACUGGCAAACUUGGAGAGACAGAUCUAUGCUUUUGAAGGAAGCUACCUGGAAGACACUCAGAUGUAUGGCAAUAUUAUUCGUGGCUGGGAUCGGUAUCUGACCAACCAGAAAAACUCCAAUAGCAAAAACGAUCGAAGGAACCGGAAGUUUAAGGAAGCUGAGCGGCUCUUCAGUAAAUCCUCAGUUACUUCAGCAGCUGCAGUAAGUGCAUUGGCAGGAGUUCAGGAUCAGCUCAUUGAAAAGAGGGAGCCAGGAAGUGGGACGGAAAGUGAUACUUCUCCUGACUUCCACAAUCAGGAGAAUGAGCCCAGCCAGGAGGACCCUGAGGACCUGGAUGGAUCUGUGCAGGGAGUGAAGCCUCAGAAGGCUGCUUCUUCUACUUCCUCAGGGGGUCAUCACGGCAGCCAUAAAAAACGAAAGAAUAAAAACCGACACAGGUAUGUAUAUUAGGUUAGGCUGGGAAGUUUUUUUUAAAAACAGAAAAACGUGAUGGAGGAUUGAUCUGAAGUUAAACAAAAAACCACGAGCUGACUAUUAGAAGACUCAUUAGUUCAGAAGCUUCCAGGCUGUAGAGCCCUGCUUCCCUGCUCCAACCUCACAAAGAUACAUAUCGCUCACCUGAGUGUGCGGCCAUCCACCUCUGCUUUCCCAGACCCAGUGCCUGUGACUCUGAAUAGUUUGUUCUGAAACGUGGUGACAAGUCAUUUCUGUAAGACUACAUUGGAUCAUUUACUGUGUGUCAUUUUUAGUAACAGAACUGCAAGAAGACCAAGACAUGGUUAUAAUUCCAGCAAGUUGCUAACUGUGCAUUUCUCCCUUCUUGGAAUGAAUGUGUCCCCCCAAACUGGCUGGCACCAGCUUCAUCUGUGAUACCCAUUGAGAAAUGUUCUCUGGUUUUGUUUUAUGCUGAAGGUAGAACAUAGGUCACGUUUCAGAGGGAGGCUGUAAAUAUUGGGCAUUUUCUUAUUUUGUUUGUGUUUUAUUAUUUUUCUAUUGUUUUUACCAUCUUCUUUUCUUUGGGGACUUUUUGUAAUGCCGUUGUACAGCUCAUACCUUCCUGCCGACAUAUCUGAUCAUCUGCUUCAUGCAAUUGCCAAUAAUCUUCACUGAAAAUAAUCUGGUUUACCAUAAAGAAAAUGGGGAACUUGGCUCUGUGUUUUUGCAGGGGGAAGGUAAAGAGGGUUUAUUUAAUAAUUACCUAUCUUAAAUCUUUCUGCAUUGGAGGCAGUUUUAUGUUCAAGGAACAGGAAAGGCUGAAAAACCUAAGUUUAAAUCAAUCCUUUUAAAAUAGAUAUUUUUAUUCUUUUAUAUAAAUAAAAUUUCGCAGGUGUUGACUUCUCAUGCUUUACUUUUAAA